rnacentral:rRNA from 1 species
GGAGGAAAGCAGGGGAUCGCAAGACCUUGCGCUCAUUGAGCGGCCGAUGCCUGAUUAGCUAGUUGGUGAGGUAAAGGCUUACCAAGGCGACGAUCAGUAGCUGGUCUGAGAGGACGACCAGCCACACUGGGACUGAGACACGGCCCAGACUCCUACGGGAGGCAGCAGUGGGGAAUUUUGGACAAUGGGGGAAACCCUGAUCCAGCCAUGCCGCGUGAGUGAAGAAGGCCUUCGGGUUGCAAAGCUCUUUCAGCCGGAACGAAACGGUCACGGCUAAUACCUGUGACUACUGACGGUACCGGAAGAAGAAGCACCGGCUAACUACGUGCCAGCAGCCGCGGUAAUACGUAGGGUGCGAGCGUUAAUCGGAAUUACUGGGCGUAAAGCGUGCGCA